GCUGGGGCCCGGGGAGGCCACCAGGGCGGGGCCGGGCGCGGGGCGGCGCUUCUUCGCGCCUCCCGGCCCCGGCCUGGCGUCCGUGGGGCGCUGUGCGUCUCCGAGAACGAAGCGGCCUCCGGGUUCGUGUGCUCCGAGCCCGAGUACUGUUUGCGGCCGUCGUCCCGUCCUGGAGCAGGAGUGAGGAAGCGCCUCUCACUCCCCCGCGAACCCGCAGAACAGGCCGCCGGCGCUAUGGAGACCGGCGGAGCUUCCCGCUCCUUCACCAAGGGGCCCUGACGCGCAGUUGAAAGCGCGGAUUUUGCCGGGCGCGGCGGCUGCGUCCGGAGUCCCAGCGCCUUGGGAGGCGAGGCGGGAGGAUCCCCACGGCCCGGGAGCUCGAGACCAGCCCGGGCAAAUAUUUUGAAAGUCAUGGUGGACGCUGUGGAUUAGCGGAGAGGGAAGGCACUUUCGUUCUCGGCACCGUGAGGCUGUCCUGGUCAAUCCUGUUUUCAUGCUUGAGGGUCUCUGGUGCAGCAGCUCCACCAGCCUUGACACCAGGACUUCUGUGGAAUCCAGGUAAGCAGCCAGGGUCCUGAUAGGGCCAUGCCCUCACCCCCAUGUAAUGCAUCCACUCCCAGUUAAAUGAGAAAGGAACAAUCACAGGAAAACAUGGAGAACAACUCCACUGUUCAGAAGCCAACCCUAUAUUAGCUACUGUUUAGGUAGAAAUGAAAAACUUUGAGACGUAAACUCCUGCAGGUAGAAGUAGAUUUCCGGUGAAUGAACAAAAUGAAGCUUAUUAGAAUCAAUGGCCUCUUCUGAGAGCCGUUCUGAAUUUUUUUUUUUUUGAGACGGAGUCUUGCUAUGUCGCCCAGGCUGGAGUGCAGUGGCGCGAUCUCGG
rnacentral:lncRNA from 10 species